UACCGUGUCAACUGCACAUUCUGUUGUAUUCUGCUUCGGUUUUGUUUUUACAUUCUGUGUUAUUUUUAUACGUGUCAAUGGGUACACUGAAAAUCAGCGUCGUAACACAACUCAUGUGCUGCGACACAUGCUGAGUGUUAUCCUUUUCUGGAACCACUCGCAACACUGUAACUUCUAAUUUACCUAGAUUUAAGCCUAUUUUAAUGUUGUUGUGUAUGUGUGUUUCGAAUAAAAGCAUCAUUCAAACAUUCA